AGCGGCGAACGGGUGAGUAACACGUGGGUGACUUGCCCCGAAGAUGGGGAUAAGCUCUGGAAACGGGGGCUAAUACCCAAUGUGCUCGGUGAUUCGGUUCAUCGAGUAAAGCUCCGGCGCUUCGGGAGAGGCCUGCGGCCCAUCAGCUAGUUGGUAGGGUAACGGCCCACCAAGGCAGAGACGGGUAGGGGGCGUGAGAGCGCGGACCCCCACACUGGCACUGAGAUACGGGCCAGACUCCUACGGGAGGCAGCAGUAAGGGAUAUUGCGCAAUGGACGAAAGUCAGACGCAGCGACGCCGCGUGGGCGAUGAAGGCCUUCGGGUUGUAAAGCCCUUUUUUGAAGGAAGAGAAACCGGACGGUACCCCAGGAAUAAGUCCCGGCUAACUACGUGCCAGCAGCCGCGGUAAAACGUAGGGGACAAGCGUUAUCCGGAUUCACUGGGCGUAAAGAUCGUUGAGGCGGUUCCGUAAGUUGGGCGUGAAAGCUCCGGGCUUAACUCGGAGAUGUCGUUCAAUACUGCGGGCCUUGAGGACAACAGAGGGAAGGUGGAAUCCACCGGUGUAGCUGGUGAAAGGCGUAGAUCUGGGGAGGAACACCCGUGGCGAAGGCGGCCUUCUGGGCUGUUCCUGACGCUGAAGGCGAAAGCUAGGGGAGCGAACGGGAUUAGAUACCUCGGUAGUUCUAGCUGUAAACGAUGGAUUCUGGUUUUGGGGGGUGUAAAUUCCCUCUGUUCCGAAGCAUACGCGUUAAGCAUCCCCCCCUGGGGACUACUGCCGCAAGGGCUAAAACUCAAACGAAUUGACGGGGGCCCGCACAAGCAUCGGAGCGUGUGGUUUAAUUCGAUGCUACACGAAGAACCUUACCUGGGUUUGACAUGCACG
rnacentral:rRNA from 1 species